AGGCGUUCAGUGUCAUAGGCGGACAUGCUAACCUCUGCGCUACGGUGGCCCCCACUAGGGCACUGGAGACUAUUGUAGAUAUCCGACUCAUUGACAUACAGAUUAAAUGUGAAGACGGCAGAGGUUAGCAUGCCCGCCUAUGACGCUGAACGCC
rnacentral:pre_miRNA from 1 species